rnacentral:RNase_P_RNA from 1 species
GCGAGCUGGUGCACAGUGCUGUUACGACAGAGGAAACUCCUCUCUCCUUGCAGAAAUUGUGGUCCGGAGAUGGGCAAUCAGAGAUGGUUGGCAACAGAGCAGAAAAAAAUCUCUCUUGGAGUGUACGAUGAGGACAAAAUCUGAGGUUUCUGAGAAAAGAGAAUGAGAAAUCUGACCCACAAGGAGCAAAGCCAAACAGAACUAUAGAAUUCUGCAUCUGGUUCAGGUAGGCUGCAAAGCGGAAUAAUGUGUAAAACAGAAAGAGGGUUACGGCCAGCACGC